rnacentral:siRNA from 1 species
CCAGCAAUAAUGACGAUGAUGA